CACUUUGUCAUUAUCUCCCUACUCUUCAAAACACAUUUGAUGUGGCCUAUCUACAACUUCUUUCUUGGUACUUCAUUGAGGAAGACAUCAACAAAUUAUUAGUCCAAAUAAAUAUAUGAAUACAAAGUAUUAUUCCAUCAACAAAGUAUUAAGUCAGCAGCCUAUUAGGUCGGCUUAUGUGUUCAGGCGCGGAGUGAUUUGUUAUUCCGUUUUUGUCUGCUUACAGUUGGUUCAAGGAGCAACUAGUUCGUUUAUGUGCCAAUAUUUUAGUCUGGUUCUGGUUUGGAAGUUGGGGUCUAAUUAUGUCUAUUACUGUUUGUAUGUUUUUCUUUUUGUAAUUUCCUCAUUUAUUAGGUGCUUGGGUUUAAAGUAAAGUGGGUGGGUGGAUAUGGUACUGAUGUCUGUUUUUCUGCUGUAGCAGUUUAUUAUUUAGGUCCAUGCAUAAUUCUAGUAGCAGGGAUUCUGAUUUCGCUGUAUUGUUUGGCAUAGCUUAUGCCUUUAAUAGUUAAUAUAUAUCAUUGUUUUGCUGCUUAAAAAAAAUGAAUACGCUAAAGACUUUAAGUACUCAAAAUCAAAUUGAAAAAUUGCCAUUACCACAAUCCAAUCAUCAUCACAGUGAAAUGUUCAAUGAACACAAAUCAAAAUGUUUGUCAAUUAAAAA
rnacentral:lncRNA from 1 species